UACGUAGGGUGCAAGCGUUUGUCCGGAAUUAUUGGGCGUAAAGAGCUCGUAGGCGGUUUGUUGCGUCGGCUGUGAAAUCCCGAGCUCAACCUCGGGUCUGCAGUCGAUACGAGCAAACUAGAGUGUUGCAGGGGAGACUGGAAUUCCUGGUGUAGCGGUGAAAUGCGCAGAUAUCAGGAGGAACACCGGUGGCGAAGGCGGGUUCUCUGG
rnacentral:rRNA from 1 species